rnacentral:rRNA from 1 species
CACAUAUCAAUAAGCGGAGGAAAAGAAACCAACAGGGAUUGCCUUAGUAACGGCGAGUGAAGCGGCAACAGCUCAAAUUUGAAAGCUGGCUCCUUCGGAGUCCGCAUUGUAAUUUGUAGAGGAUGAUUCGGCGAGGGCUCCCGCCUAAGUCCACUGGAACGUGGCGUCAUAGAGGGUGAGAAUCCCGUAUGCGGUGGGUUGCCUUAGCCAUGUGAAUCUCCUUCGACGAGUCGAGUUGUUUGGGAAUGCAGCUCUAAAUGGGAGGUAAAUUUCUUCUAAAGCUAAAUACCGGCCAGAGACCGAUAGCGCACAAGUAGAGUGAUCGAAAGAUGAAAAGCACUUUGGAAAGAGAGUUAAAAAGUACGUGAAAUUGUUGAAAGGGAAGGGCUUGCAACCAGACUUGUCCGCAGUUGCUCAGCCGGUCUCCUGACCGGCGUACUCUUCUGCGGCCAGGCCAGCAUCAGUUCGGGCGGUCGGAUAAAGACCUAGGGAAUGUAGCUCCUCUCGGGGAGUGUUAUAGCCCUGGGUGGAAUGCGACCAGCCUGGACUGAGGAUCUCGCUUCGGCAAGGAUGCUGGCGUAAUGGUUGUAAGCCGCCCGUCUUGAAACACGGACCAAGGAGUCUAACAUCUAUGCGAGUGUUUGGGUGUCAAACCCAUACGCGUAAUGAAAGUGAACGGAGGUGGGAACCCGCAAGGGCGCACCAUCGGCCGAUCCUGAUGUCUUCGGAUGGAUUUGAGCAAGAGCAUAGCUGUUGGGACCCGAAAGAUGGUGAACUAUGCCUGAAUAGGGUGAAGCCAGAGGAAACUCUGGUGGAGGCUCGCAGCGGUUCUGACGUGCAAAUCGAUCG